AUAUUAGUGCCAAUGUUUUCAUGAAUGGGGAGUAAGACUUGGUGGUAUAAUAUUUCUAAUAUACAAAUACCAGCCCCAGGAUAUUUACGUCAGGACAGGUUAGCAUUAAUUACUGCUUGUCAUUAUGGAUUGAAGUUUAGAAUGAUCAUUGAAUCCGACUUUUAAGGUUAUUGCAGUGACUGUUUUCAAGGAUGGAGAGUAAAACUUGGUGGUCUGAUACGGCUAUAUAUUAAUGAAAAUUUGGAUCCUUUUGGCUGGAAAGAUUGUCAGGAACCUGAAGAAACUGAAUCCACAUUAAACAUAUGUACAA